rnacentral:rRNA from 1 species
UCCUCGCGGUCCAAGUCGCAGCCAUUUUUAUUGGGUCUAAAACAUCCGUAGCUUGCUUAGUAAGUUUCUUGUGAAAUUUUAUGUCUUAAACAUGAAGCGUGCAAGAAAUACUGCAAAGCUAGAGACUGGAAGACGUGAAAAGUAUGUUUGAAGUAGCGGUAAAAUGUGUUAAUCUCAAGCAGACUCACAACAGCGAAGGCAUUUCACGAGGACAGUUCUGACAGUAAGGGAUGAAGGCUAGGGGCGCAAAAGG